GAGACCUUCGGGUCUAGUGGCGCACGGGUGCGUAACGCGUGGGAAUCUGCCCUUAGGUACGGAAUAACAGUGAGAAAUUACUGCUAAUACCGUAUGAUGUCUUCGGACCAAAGAUUUAUCGCCUAGGGAUGAGCCCGCGUUGGAUUAGCUAGUUGGUGGGGUAAAGGCCUACCAAGGCGACGAUCCAUAGCUGGUCUGAGAGGAUGAUCAGCCACACUGGGACUGAGACACGGCCCAGACUCCUACGGGAGGCAG
rnacentral:rRNA from 1 species